rnacentral:rRNA from 1 species
GACGGAACGAUGGGAGCUUGCUCCCAGGCGUCGAGUGGCGGACGGGUGAGUAAUACUUAGGAAUCUGCCCAAUAGUGGGGGACAACUCGGGGAAACUCGAGCUAAUACCGCAUACGCCCUACGGGGGAAAGCGGGGGAUCUUCGGACCUCGCGCUAUUGGAUGAGCCUAAGUCGGAUUAGCUUGUUGGUGGGGUAAAGGCCUACCAAGGCGACGAUCCGUAGCUGGUCUGAGAGGAUGAUCAGCCACACUGGGACUGAGACACGGCCCAGACUCCUACGGGAGGCAGCAGUAGGGAAUAUUGGACAAUGGGCGAAAGCCUGAUCCAGCAAUGCCGCGUGUGUGAAGAAGGCCUGCGGGUUGUAAAGCACUUUCAGUAGAGAAGAAAAGCUUAGGGAUAAUACCCCUGAGUCUUGACGUAACCUACAGAAGAAGCACCGGCUAACUCCGUGCCAGCAGCCGCGGUAAUACGGAGGGUGCGAGCGUUAAUCGGAAUUACUGGGCGUAGAGCGCGCGUAGGCGGCUUGGUAAGUCGGAUGUGAAAGCCCUGGGCUUAACCUGGGAACUGCAUUCGAUACUGCUGAGCUAGAGUAUGGUAGAGGGAAGUGGAAUUUCCGGUGUAGCGGUGAAAUGCGUAGAUAUCGGAAGGAACACCAGUGGCGAAGGCGACUUCCUGGGCCAAUACUGACGCUGAGGUGCGAAAGCGUGGGGGGCAAACAGGAUUAGAUACCCUGGUAGUCCACGCCGUAAACGAUGAGAACUAGAUGUCGGGAGGGUUUGCCUUUCGGUGUCGCAGCUAACGC